CAGUCUAUCCCAGGAGAAAAUAAAUAGAGAAACUCCAUUCAAACCCCUCUCUGGCCUGCAGAGGGAAAUUAACAAAGGUUACAUUCAAACCGAGCAAUUCAUCUUUCACCAGGAAUGGAAAACCUGAAAAGAAAACCUCUGGCAGGACUGACCCACAAGUUGCCUCAACUGUUCUCACCAUCUGAUGGCAAAGUCAAAGGAUGACCGUGGCAGCCGGCACCGGGGCAUUUGGCCCGAGCGGUCCUCUGCCAGAACGGAAAAGUGCACGACCACAGUGAAGUCUACACCAGCGAACCUGUUGGUUCCCACUCUGUUCUGGUAGGGAUCCCGGGAUCUGACAUCAGGAAUCUGGUCAGAUAGUCCAUCAAAAACCACCACGUGAGACGUGCCCAGAAGCCAGCAGCAGUAAAAGCUCCAAGGAAGUCAGCAGACAAACGUACUCCACAGUGAUACAACCAGUGCAAUGUGGACCCGGGACGGAGUGCUUAAACAGAUGUGGAUCUGUGACUGCAAUGCAGCAUUUAUAGGCAGAGGCUCGCUAUUCUGUGCUCUUAUGAACAGCAGGGGCCAAGGAAAUGUGAUGAAAUAUCCCCAGCUGUGGAAUGGCAAAGCAAACAGAACACAAGCUAAACCUUAAUGGGCUGGUUAUUGGAAACAGCAGCCCAUACUGCUCUGUUUCUCAUCUCACUUACACCAAGUUUACCCCCUGUAACUCCGUCCUGGAGCUAUUCCUGAUUUACACUGGUGAAGAGAAAAAUCAGGUCCUGCCUCUCCAAUGCUUUGUUUAGCUAAACAAAGCAGAUCUGCAGAUCCCAACUGACAGAAGAACAUACACAGAGCUUUUACUCAGCUGAAUUGUUUUAAAACAGGCUACAAUAUUGGCACAUGGCCUUUUAGGCAACAAACAUUUGCAUCUAAUUUGUUAUCGAUUCCAUCUCCCCACUAUAGGAAUUCAGGCUACUUCUAGUUUGCUUGCUACAGAAUAAUUAGCCUUGCUUACUCUCUCCAAAAGCAGGAAAUAAAGUGCUCCAUAGACAAAUUCCCUGGUCACAAAAAGAACAAAGCCAGGAAUAGAUUAAUCACUGGAUGUUGUUUCCAGGAUAGAAGUCAAAGCUGAGAACACGCACCUUGGUUAUUAAAAUGGUGACUUUCUCUGCCAUUAAAACCCAGAUGCCUUUUGUUCUUCCUGCUGAUUCAAAUUUUUGCAUGCUUGAGGCUUGCAAUGUUGGUGGUCUAACACACUGCAACUUAAAUGCUGAGGGUGAUUACUGUAGAAUCCUGUGUGUAUAUGCAGUAUAUAUGUUUGUGGGUGUGUGGACAACUUGGGUACAAGAUUAAAAAC